rnacentral:rRNA from 1 species
GACGAACGCUGGCGGCGUGCUUAACACAUGCAAGUCGAACGGGUCUGCCCUGUUUUUUGCGGGGUGGGUCAGUGGCGAACGGGUGAGUAACACGUGAGUAACCUGCCCCUCACUUCUGGAUAACCGCUUGAAAGGGUGGCUAAUACGGGGUGUUCUGGCUGUGCCGCAUGGUGUGGCUGGGAAAGAUUCACUUUUGUGGUGUUUUGGUGGGGGAUGGGCUCGCGGCCUAUCAGCUUGUUGGUGGGGUGAUGGCUUGCCAAGGCUUUGACGGGUAGCCGGCCUGAGAGGGUGGGCGGUCACACUGGGACUGAGAUACGGCCCAGACUCCUGCGGGAGGCAGCAGUGGGGGGUAUUGCACAAUGGGCGGAAGCCUGAUGCAGCGACGUCGCGUGAGGGAUGGAGGCCUUCGGGUUGUGAACCUCUUUCGCCGGUGAAGAAGGUCCUGCUCUUUGUGGUGGGGUUGACGGUACCCGGGUUAUGAAGCGCCGGCUAACUACGUG